UUCUCAACCUAACGGCGGCUCACUUCUUAGUUUCACCGCCUCACCAAAAUUAAGAUUCUGAUAAAGGAGGAAAAGAAAAGCUGUCAAGCAUUUCCUAAUAGCAGAGCCUUGCAAUUUCUGUAAGCCUACCAGAGAAAUCAGUUUUUGCAAUUGCUGUUGUUGGUAAUUUCUAAUCCUGAUUUGUUAAAAUUGCAUCAUCUUAUGAUUCAUUGUCAGUAGAAAUGGGUAAAUUAGAUGCUGUUGUGAUGUCGAAUUGUUUAGUCACUGUAACAGUGUGAUUUACUUAGGGUUUUAUAAUAGUUGUGAUUUUGGGGGUUGUAUGUAUUUUUUAACCCUUCCACUGAAGAAUACAAAAAUACCUUAAUCACCUAAGGAUGAUUUCUAUGGGAACGCUAUGAUCAAAUCCAUCUGCAAACCAGAUUCAGUCCUAAUUUCCUAGAAACCCAGGGAUGCAGUAAACCGGAUAGAAAUGGGGUUGGUCAGAAGACGGAAUUCAAGUAGUCUUCUCCUGGGUUCUGAGAAGAAGAUAAUGGCGAUGAUUAUAACCUUUGUGAAUCAAAUGGGUUAUAGUACGCCAUAAAAUUCACAUGCGGCUGCUUAACUGGAUUGGAAUCUCCAAAGGUCUGAUUAAGGACAACUCCACAUUGCUACCAUGGCAUCUGUGCAAGAUUGAUUCAGAUUGUUCUAGUGGUGGUUGUCAAUGUGGAGUUAAUCGGACAAGUUUUUCACCUGCUCUUUAUGAUGCUGAGAGAAUGCAAGUGGAGAACAAGGUGGUGAAUACAUGUAAUUGAGCAUUUGAAGACGUCGCUUAUAAUGCCGAACAUAUGCCAGGAGGAGAAUUGAAAUGAAAUGCAAAAGAAGAUUUCAAGACGUUGCUUAUGACGCAGAUAUCUCAAAACCAAUUUGUCUCGGUCUCAAGAUGGCUCAAGAGAUCAAUGAUCUCAACCAGAUUUGGGGUUUAAAACGCAAGGACAGUUUCAAGAUGGCUCAAGAAAUCAAUGUCUCAACCAGAUUAGUUUUUACAAGCUAUGGAAGAUCAAUGAUCUCAACCGGAUUAGUUUUUACAAGCUAUGGAAAAUCAAUGAUCUCAACCAGGUUUAAAAAGCAAGGAAAGGCUAAUAUACAUUCACUAAAGAAGCCGAUCAAAAAAAAAACAUUCACUAAAGAAUACAAAAAGGAGGAUGCAUUUAUUGUUGAAGCUGGCAUCCCUUUUACUUUUGAUGUUUCAAUUUUUAGUUGUAGAAGUGUAUUCUGGAAUAAUAAAAUGAAUGUGUUUUUUUCUUCUGACGAAAUCAUUUUGGCACUUUUUCUGUUCAUUUACUUAUGAAUGGUUGGAUAUAUUGUGUUAUCUACCUCUGAAGAUACUCAUUUGGGAGGAGACGACUUCAACAAGGUUGGUGCAGGCUUUCUUCAUCAUAAGUGUUAUUAGUGUAAAAUUAUUGUGCAGGUUGUGUUUACUUAGUGUGAAUUUCCAGUGGACAGAGAAUUGUUGGUCGGCUUGCCGCCAGCUUUAAGAGAGACAAGGGUAUCGAUCUUGACCAACUGGAAGUACCAGUUGAGAACUCUUUGAAAGAUGCAAAGCUCGGGUUCAUGGACUUGGAUGAGGUGAUCCUUGUUGGUGGGUCCACACGUAUCCCAGCUGUUCUGGAGCUUGUUAAAUCAUUAAUGGUAAAGACCCAAGUGUUACACAGUAAAUCCUGAUGAAGUCUGGUAAAGACCCAAAUGUUACCCAGUAAAUCCUGAUGAAGUUGUUGCUCUUGGUGCUGCAGUUCAGGCUGGUGUGCUCUCUGGAUGCACUAGUGAUGUUUAGAAGAGUUGGGAUUUUACAAGGAACUAAACUGGUGAAAUGGCUCCUGGGAUUGGUGAUCAUACACCUGCAUCUUUCUCACAAUCUACUGAGUAUUGGUUGUUCUAGCCUGUGAGUUUCGCCUUCUGGUUAUGAUGGAAACUCAAGUCUACCGAUGCGAUUUUUUGCAUCAGAAUGUGCGUUCGGAACCAGUUGAUGAGCUGUAUUCAGGAUAUGCAGUUUGCUGGCCUGUCCUAAUCUAUAGCUGACGAACUCAUUUUGGCAUCUUUUCUGUUCAUUUUACUUAUAGAAGGGGUGGGUGUGGUUUGUAUUUGAGGUUUUAUCGGAGGCACUAGUGAUGUUUAAAAGAGUCGGUUUUAUAUUGAGGAACCAUAAACAAAGAGGUCCUCGGAGGGCUUUGUGGAACUUCAGUAGAACUGGUACAUUGUGCAGGUACCAAAUUCAUCCUCCGGUUCUUUUAAGAACUCAUAGAAAUCCAUGUGUUGGUUCAUAGAAUCAAGCAAUGUCAUUCAACAACUGAAAGCUCCAGUAAUGCAUUUUGAGUAAAAUUUCGUUUAA